ACGCUAGCUAUAUGCUUAACACAUGCAAGUCGAACGUGGCUUGCUUCCCCAUCUAUCCACGUGGGGGCAGAAGGGCAAGAGGAAGAAAUAAUGGUCCCCUCCUAGCAAAAUGAUGCGUGCUCACUCACUCAAAGAAAUGUGCAUGCAGGUUUUGGGGCACAGCAAGCAAAGUGGCGAACGGGUGCGUAACGCGUGGGAAUCUGCCGAACAGUUCACUCCAAAUCCUGGAUAAUUCAUAAAGCAAGCUAAUUCGCGCUGUUUGAUGAGCCCGCGUAGUAUCAGGUAGUUGGUUAGGUAAAGGCUUACCAAGCCAAUGAUGCUUAGCUGGUCUUUUCGGA
rnacentral:rRNA from 1 species